ACAGAGGACAAUCGUGUUGCACAGGAAGAAUCGUUAAUUGUGGCUGAAUCAAACGUUAAGGAAGAAAAACAUGAUAUGGAUGAUGAGAGCGUAGCACUGUGUCGAGCUCAUAAUAAGGAACUACUUGAAGAAACAGGUAUGUGCGUAUGAAUGUAUUGUGUAUUAUGUAUAAUGGUGUUGAAUGCUAAAGGAUUAUAACUGCC